rnacentral:misc_RNA from 1 species
CGCUCACGGGGACAACGGAAGCAAAGACAGAUGCGCAAACAAAGAGUCAGCGAUGACAGCCACAGGAAAAAAAAGAGCGCAGGCAGUGCGAGAAGGCUCAGCAACAAAGGGAAAAGAUCGGAUUCAACUGGAUGUGAUGGGCAGGAAGAGUCUUGUCCCUUCAAGGGCUGAGGAAAGAAGCGAGGAAGGACGGAAGCAACGAAGAGAGGCGCAUGGCGGAGGAAGAGGCGGGCUGGGGCACAAUGCGAAAGAGAGUGGGCACGUGUGUAUGUAUGCACCUGCCGUCGGGAUGACGGUGACGUGGAUCUCCCCGAAAAAAAAAAGCUUGCCGCUUGUCAGUCUCUCAUGCGCGGCUACGUUGUGUGAAGCGUUUGCUUCGCCUCUCCGUUUUGUUUUUCUUUUCUUUUGUCUACCUUGAACUAUAUGUGCUCGCACCCCUACUCUGCUCCUCUUUUCCCUCUGUGCCUCUUCCUCUCGUAUACGCUCGCGCCUCUUUUUUUGUUCCGAUGCUUCAUGCUUGUUUGUAUUGCUGCGCAUCGCCGAUGCUUUAUAAAAGCGUUUCGCGUAUCCGUGUGGCUUGGUGUGUGUGCGUAUAUAUGUAUAUGAGUGUGCUGGCUUGUGCGUCUCUCCGCGCGCGCGCGUGUGUGUGCCCGAGUUGUUUUUCAUGUUUGCAUUCGUACUUGUACUCGCAGACCACCACCCGCCCGCUCUUCUCUCCCUUUUUAAAUUCUCUUCGUGCUUUUUUUUGUCGUCGUUGCUUCUUCUUUUUCCUCGUUGCGUUGCACCUUCUUCGGUGCCCUAUCCCCUCCCCGUCGGCUGCUUUCAUUUGAUCGUGUAUGUGCCUUGUUGUUCUUCAUCGUUGAGGGCGAGGCUACUCCGCAUGGUUUGAAUCAAGGCAGUAUCCAACGCGGAUCGAAAAAGGGGGAGGCAUAGGGAGGAAAAAAAAAAACGGUGCGGCAGAUGCUCACAAGAAAAGGCUGAGAUGGGCGGGUGGCGAGAGGGUGUCAUUCAAUGAUGACUUGACGUUGCUUCAACAAGUGAGCCUUCGCGUGGACGUACGACACCACGACUCUUUAUUUUUUCCCCUUUUUUCCGCGAUGGUCGAUAACUUCGUAAAGAUUGGCGGUAGUUUUGAUUUCGUAUCCCCUCUCCAUCCGUUUCCCUUUGCUGCUGCUGAUGUUGUGUGUAUGAUUUUUUUUUGGUUUCUGCUAUUCAGCUGUUAUUCCCCACUUUCAGCGGUGACGAAGAGAUGGUAGUGCAUCCCUCCUCCACCUCCCUCCUCCUUGCACCGCAACCCCUGCCAAGUUUCGCUUCGCCUUCCCCUCUUGAAGGUUUCCCUACUUCACUAUCCCUCACGCUCUUCUGUGUGGGGCGCUUUCUGAGGGCACACGACCGCUUCCGUACGUGGGGGUGCUGUGCUCACGUGGGGCGCCCUACGAGAGCGGGGAACGAGAUGGGGAGGGCGUUUGGUGAGACUGAAGGAGCGGCGCGGGGUAGGGACGGAGGACGGCACGAGUAAUGCGAGAACGCGUAAGAGUGAGUGAGUGAGCGAAGAAUGAGGAGUCGGUGGAGGAGGAUAAGGGAUCGAAUGCUGCCGGCCAGGCAAGCCAUCACUGCAGUCGUGCAAAGAGUUUUCCUUGUUACCUGCGGUGCUGUAUGCUCGUCAGCUGUGCAGACGUGAGCGAAGAAGAAGCGAAGAAGAAGCGACGAAGACGUGAGGUCGAGGAGAGAAGAAUAGGAGUGAGAAGCCGAACGAAGGAUCAACGGAGUCAAAGAAAAAAAAAGAGAGACGGAAAGAGAAGGAGAGGAAACAGAAAGGAUCUUGCAAAGCCCCACUGUCGCUUCAGAACGCCAGGAAAUCAACAACAACAAAAAAGGGCGUCGCUUUCGACGCACACGUGAGCGUUUUUUUUCUCCUUUUUUUUUCGCCCUGGCGUGUGUUGUCUGUUUCGCCUGUGCGCUUGUGCCCCCCUUUUUUUUGCUCUCUUUUCCGUCUCUUUUUUUGUUUUCUUUGUGCGCCUGUUUGGUUGGAAACGCGCCCCUCCGGGAAGUGGAGAGAAAAAACGUGCGAAACGGAAGAACAUAAUGAACACUUGGGAAAAGCGCAAGAGAGGGGCGGCGAGAUGGGCUGCCCAAAGGACUACGAGGCGCCUUACUCUGCACGCAGAUAGGCAAACAGACAGACACCCACACAUACAGCCAUAGCUAGGGGCAAAUGCACAUGCAUACGCGAUGGCAUGUAUUCUGUAUCGGAAGCCUCGAAACAGAGGACUGUCGACAUGCCGAGUAGCUCAAGAGCCACUCCUGAUUGUCUCGCUAUGCGUGUUGCUGCGCGUAUGUUUGCGUGUUUCUCUUCAACAAAAUUUGCUCCUUGCUCAUCCCAUCUUGCAAGGCCCCUGCCCGUAUCAAGCAUGUGUUUGUGUCCCGUUCAUUAUGCGUACAUGAUCCUGUGUAUGUCUUUGUGUACGCUUUUGUGAGUCGCCUUUUUUUUUAGCACGCAAGAAGAAAAAGAGAAGCAUCCUCGAGAACACCACCUCAAAUAGACACAAGGGCAACAAGGAAAAACAUGAGGAAAAGACAAGGUGGGCGAGACGCACAACGAAAAGCGUUACAGAGGGAGGAAUGAACACCAAGGCAGAACAGACACACACGCAUACACACACACACACACACACACACACACGCUAACCAAUGCACAGAGAGAGAAAACGGAGACUCAACAAGACGAACAGAAGAAAAGCGCAUU